UGGGUAAUAUUGCACAAUGGGCGCAAGCCUGAUGCAGCCAUGCCGCGUGUAUGAAGAAGGCCUGCGUGUUGUAAAGUACUUUCAGUCGGGAGGAAGGUGUCAAGGUUAAUAACCUUUGCAAUUGACGUUACCGACAGAAGAAGCACCGGCUAACUCCGUGCCAGCAGCCGCGGUAAUACGGAGGGUGCAAGCGUUAAUCGGAAUUACUGGGCGUAAAGCGCACGCAGGCGGUUGAUUGAGUCAGAUGUGAAAUCCCCGGGCUUAACCCGGGAAUUGCAUCUGAUACUGGUCAGCUAGAGUCUUGUAGAGGGGGGUAGAAUUCCAUGUGUAGCGGUGAAAUGCGUAGAGAUGUGGAGGAAUACCGGUGGCGAAGGCGGCCCCCUGGACAAAGACUGACGCUCAGGUGCGAAAGCGUGGGGAGCAAAAAGG
rnacentral:rRNA from 1 species